UGCAUCUGUGGAAAAUACUUGUUGGUAUAAUAUCGUGGCAUUUCGGAAUUAUUUACGGCCAAAUGAACAACAGUGGGGUAUCUUUCAUGUAUUGGAAAUGAAACGAGAAGGAA